UGCCCCAUGGCUGAGUUGGUUACAGCGUCCGACUGUUAACUGAUUACGUAAUCAUCCGCAAUCGGAAGGUCGUGAGUUCGAGCCUCACUGGGGCAG